rnacentral:rRNA from 1 species
UACGAAGGGGGCUAGCGUUGUUCGGAAUCACUGGGCGUAAAGCGCACGCAGGCGGAUCGUUAAGUCAGGGGUGAAAUCCCGAGGCUCAACCUCGGAACUGCCUUUGAUACUGGCGAUCUUCGAGUCCGGGAGAGGUGAGUGGAACUCCGAGUGUAGAGGUGAAAUUCGUAGAUAUUCGGAAGAACACCAGUGGCGAAGGCGGCUCACUGGCCCGGUACUGACGCUGAGGUGCGAAAGCGUGGGGAGCAAACAGG